rnacentral:lncRNA from 1 species
AGUGCAAGUGACAAUAUCUUUGUGUACGCGGAGGGAGGCCAUGGUAAUUCUCAGGUUUUUUAGUAGUAAUCGCCAAUAAUUUUCCAUUAUACAGGCCUAAAAAAGAGGGCUUGGAGUAUUUUCAGUGGGAGCCUUUUAUGUUGAAGGCAUUCAUAUCAUAGCCAUAUUUGUAGAUCCAUAUCAUAUUUGUAAAGAUGGAUUCCUAUAAUGAUCCUUCUG